rnacentral:rRNA from 1 species
AUUGAACGCUGGCGGCAGGCCUAACACAUGCAAGUCGAGCGGUAACACAGGGAGCUUGCUCCCGGGUGACGAGCGGCGGACGGGUGAGUAAUGUCUGGGAAACUGCCUGAUGGAGGGGGAUAACUACUGGAAACGGUAGCUAAUACCGCAUAACGUCGCAAGACCAAAGAGGGGGACCUUCGGGCCUCUUGCCAUCAGAUGUGCCCAGAUGGGAUUAGCUAGUAGGUGGGGUAAUGGCUCACCUAGGCGACGAUCCCUAGCUGGUCUGAGAGGAUGACCAGCCACACUGGAACUGAGACACGGUCCAGACUCCUACGGGAGGCAGCAGUGGGGAAUAUUGCACAAUGGGCGCAAGCCUGAUGCAGCCAUGCCGCAUGUAUGAAGAAGGCCUUCGGGUUGUAAAGUACUUUCAGCGGGGAGGAAGGUGCUGAGGUUAAUAACCUCAGCAAUUGACGUUACCCGCAGAAGAAGCACCGGCUAACUCCGUGCCAGCCGCCGCAGUAACAC